GCCAACUCGGUCACUUGAUCUGAACAGGCCGCGCAGCAGCCAUUCUCUCCCUUCACCACCACGCGCUGCGAGAGUGAUUUCCGGAUAAAACCGUCCCGCCGUCCGGCUCUGAUGAAAGGGAUUACUGUUGAAAAACUCACCAAGGAAACACUGAAGGACAAGGACCAUCUUAAGGAUCUUCUUGCAAUGUGUGAAGCUCAAAGGGAGAUUGGGG